rnacentral:rRNA from 1 species
GCUUAGCCAUAAAAUAUUAACCCACAUCAAAACCGCCAGGGAAUUACGAGCCCAAGCUUAAAACCCAAAGGACUUGACGGUGUCCCAUCCACCUAGAGGAGCCUGUUCUAUAAUCGAUUUUCCCCGAUCAACCCCACCACCUCUUGAAUAACCAGCCUGUAUACCUCCGUCGAAAGCUUACCAUGUGAACGUAUCCAGUGGGCCUAAAGGUUAAAAACCCAAACGUCAGGUCAAGGUGCAGCCUACGAGGCGGAAAGCAAUGGGCUACAAUCUCUACCCUAGAACACACAGAAAACUGCAUGAAAUACAGUAUUGAAGGCGGAUUUAGAAGUAAAAAGAAAAUAGAGAGUUCUUUUUAAUAAGGCACUGGGACGCGUACACACCGCCCGUCACCCUCUCCAUUCACCACCUUGUACUAUGUACACCCCCACAGAAGAGGCAAGUCGUAACACGGUAAGCGUACUGGAAAGUGUGCUUGGAUUAACAAAAUGUAGCUUAAUUAAAGCAUCUUGCUUACACCAAGAAUAUGUCAGUUAAACCCUCACCAUUCUGAGCCAAAAACCAAGCCCUAGUCAACCCGAUAAGAAAACCCAAACAAAUAAGUACAAAUAAAACAUUCUACUAACUUAGUAAAGGUGAUUAAAAAGCACUUAGGAGCCCCAACUAC